CAGCAGCCACGGUAAUACGUAGGUCCCGAGCGUUGUCCGGAUUUAUUGGGCGUAAAGCGAGCGCAGGCGGUUAGAUAAGUCUGAAGUUAAAGGCUGUGGCUUAACCAUAGUACGCUUUGGAAACUGUUUAACUUGAGUGCAAGAGGGGAGAGUGGAAUUCCAUGUGUAGCGGUGAAAUGCGUAGAUAUAUGGAGGAACACCGGUGGCGAAAGCGGCUCUCUGGCUUGUAACUGACGCUGAGGCUCGAAAGCGUGGGGAGCAAACAGGAUUAGAUACCCGCGUAGUCCCUGUCUCUUAUACC
rnacentral:rRNA from 1 species